rnacentral:rRNA from 1 species
AGUGGCGGACGGGUGAGUAACGCGUGGGUAACCUGCCUCAUACAGGGGGAUAACAGUUAGAAAUGACUGCUAAUACCGCAUAAGACCACAGCACCGCAUGGUGCAGGGGUAAAAACUCCGGUGGUAUGAGAUGGACCCGCGUCUGAUUAGGUAGUUGGUGGGGUAACGGCCUACCAAGCCGACGAUCAGUAGCCGACCUGAGAGGGUGACCGACCACAUUGGGACUGAGACACGGCCCAA